UACGUAGGUGGCAAGCGUUAUCCGGAUUUACUGGGUGUAAAGGGCGUGUAGGCGGGGACGCAAGUCAGAUGUGAAAACCACGGGCUCAACCUGUGGCCUGCAUUUGAGACUGUGUUUCUUGAGUACUGGAGAGGCAGACGGAAUUCCUAGUGUAGCGGUGAAAUGCGUAGAUAUUAGGAGGAACACCAGUGGCGAAGGCGGUCUGCUGGACAGCAACUGACGCUGAGGCGCGAAAGCGUGGGGAGCAAACAGG
rnacentral:rRNA from 1 species